AUGUUGUUGACAGAAGAUAGAGGGCACAUGCGCUUACUUUCAGAGAAUCUGCAAUUGAGGGACAUGUGCCUUCUAUUCUUCUGCCAGCCCAU
rnacentral:pre_miRNA from 1 species